UGUUUUAGUGGCGGACGGGUGAGUAACGCGUGGGCAACCUGCCUUACACCGGGGGAUAACGACUUAGAAAUAGGUGCUAAUACCGCAUAACAGGAGAACAUGCAUGUGUUUUCCUUGAAAACCACGGUGGUGUAAGAUGGACCCGCGUCUGAUUAGCUUGUUGGCAGGGUAACGGCCUACCAAGGCGACGAUCAGUAGCCGGCCUGAGAGGGUGGACGGCCACAUUGGGACUGAGACACGGCCCAGACUCCUACGGGAGGCAGCAG
rnacentral:rRNA from 1 species